AAAAACCAAGACCCAGUAAAGAAAAAUGUCUGAGGGCUUCCCAGUCCGGUAAAGCCGAUAAGACAGUUGUGUUCGUCUUUUCCACUGACCCCUGGGACUCCUGGACACCGGAUUUUCCGUCCUUCUCCAGGGCGCUGAAGGAAACAGAGGCGAUCUCUCCGGCGUGCGGAUCCUGGCUCCUUUAAAAGGAAGACGGCCCAUUCGUAGCCCCCGGCUGACAUCCUGAACCCUAAUGUCGAGCGGUAAUAAAUUUCCGAGAUCUCUAA